UUGAACGCUGGCGGCGUGGCUAAAGCAUGCAAGUCGAACGAACCCGCAAGGGUGAGUGGCGAAAGGGUCAGUAACACGAUCGAACGUACCCCGAGGUGGGGGAUAGCCGUGGGAAACUGCGGGUAAUACCCCAUGAUCUCUCCGGAGCAAAGGUUUACCGCCUUGGGCUCGGCGAUCGUCCUAUCAGCUAGUUGGCGGGGUAAAGGCCCACCAAGGCGAUGACGGGUAGCAGGUGUGAGAGCACGACCUGCGACAUCGGGACUGAGACACUGCCCGGACUCCUACGGGAGGCUGCAGCGACGAAUCUUCCGCAAUGGGCGCAAGCCUGACGGAGCGACGCCGCGUGUGGGACGAAGCGCCUUCGGCGUGUAAACCACUGUCAGGGGAUAGAACCAAUGAUCAUCCCCAAAGGAAGAGACGGCUAACCCUGU
rnacentral:rRNA from 1 species